AUGACCGACGCGGGUCAAAGUGUUGUAUCUAUAUUCUUAUCAGCUUAAUAUCUCAUACGGAUUGAAUUUGGACCCAAGAUGUUAAAUUUAAUUUUGCAAUGUGGCGGAGUGAUUGAAACCUGCUUCACCUCCGCUGCCGGGUGGGCCCGGUAUUGUAUUACAUCAAUUUACCGCAUAUACGAU